rnacentral:lncRNA from 1 species
UGGCAUAAUCAUUUCAUAAGAUUAUAAUUUUCAUUGUAUACACAUCGUUUGUUCACUUGUAGAUCAUGUAUGUGAGUGAUAAGCAUGUCCAUGUAAGCAACUAUUUAUAGUAGCAUGCAAUGUAUUAAUAGCGUUCAAUUGUAAGCAUGCAUGUAAUUUAUAGUAACAUGGUAUAUACGAUAGUCAUGCAUUCAAGUUAAGCUCUUCAUGCAUGCAUAUGAUGAAUUAUAUGUAUAUACUUAGUCAUGUAAAUCUUAGAUUUGUAAAUUCAUGCAUACGUAUAUUCAUUUUAAUGUGAUCAUGAUCAAGGUUAUAAGUAUAAAGAUAUUCAAGUGAAGAAUAUUAAGACUAAAGCUUGAGAUGCAUUAACUCAUAACUAAUCAAAUUUCACUAAGCUCACAUAUACCCAUAGAUCUUCUGAUUUUUGAAUGAACUUCUUGAUCUAAGGGUUUAGUGAAGAUGUCAG